UAACACGUGAGCAACCUGCCUUUCAGAGGGGGAGUAACAGUUGGAAACGACUGCUAAUACCGCAUAACGCUGCGAUGGGGCAUCCCGAUGCAGCCAAAGGAGCAAUCCGCUGGAAGAUGGGCUCGCGGCCGAUUAGCUAGUUGGUGGGGCAACGGCCCACCAAGGCGACGAUCGGUAGCCGGACUGAGAGGUUGAUCGGCCACGUUGGGACUGAGACACGGCCCAGACUCCUACGGAAGGCAGCAG
rnacentral:rRNA from 1 species